GAUGAACGCUAGCGGCAGGCCUAAUACAUGCAAGUCGAACGGGAUCCAGAUCAAAGCUUGCUUUGGUUUGGUGAGAGUGGCGCACGGGUGCGUAACGCGUGAGCAACCUACCCUUGUCAGGGGGAUAGCCCGGCGAAAGUCGGAUUAAUACCGCAUGACAUCAUUGAGAGGCAUCUUUCGAUGAUCAAAGAUUUAUCGGACAAGGAUGGGCUCGCGUGACAUUAGCUAGUUGGUAAGGUAACGGCUUACCAAGGCUACGAUGUCUAGGGGCUCUGAGAGGAGACUCCCCCACACUGGUACUGAGACACGGACCAGACUCCUACGGGAGGCAGCAGUAAGGAAUAUUGGUCAAUGGACGGAAGUCUGAACCAGCCAUGCCGCGUGCAGGAAGACGGCCCUAUGGGUUGUAAACUGCUUUUAUACGGGAACAAACGUCGGUACGUGUACCGGUCUGAGUGUACCGUAAGAAUAAGGAUCGGCUAACUCCGUG
rnacentral:rRNA from 1 species